rnacentral:rRNA from 1 species
AUGGCCAACCCCUCCAUGGCGGCCGGCGGCGGGGUGCCGUUGGCGGAGGGGGUCCGCGCCGUCAGGGCCCAGAUCCGCAACCGCUUCCGCGUGGCGCCCGUCGACCGCGUGGCUGUGGCGUUGGCGGCGGCGAGCCAGUCCCUGAGAAACCGCGAGAUCCUCGACGCUGCGGACAAGCCGCUGCGGCGGAUCGGCGCGUUGUUCGAGCAGCUUGCGGCCGUCGCCAAGCAGCAGCAGCAGACCGCGAUGGCGGCGGGGGACUUCUCGCGCGCCUGCUCCAACGUCUCCGUCCUCUUCUGCUACCUCGGCAUCGCCUUCAAGUUUGCGGAGAUGGACUACGUAGCCAAGGCAAGCGGCCACUCCUCCGCCCCCCUCUCCUCCCCCGCUACCUGCUCUGCUAUUCGCUGCGUGCCAUCCACGUGGGAAGGUCGCGGCGACCACCAAGAAGACACCCAACUCCCGCACCCCGAACUACCCUACCCGAGCCUGCCGUCGCAGCUGCUGUGUCAAGUCCACAGCAUCACCAUGCAUGCUGACAAGGACAAUGACGAGGUCUACGCACAGAUGACUCUGCAACCAAUAAACUCUAAGUACUGUCGGAAACUGAGCUUGGUGAAGAUAUUCAGAACAUGCUGA